GAAGCGGACAGACACGCCCCUUCUUUCCUUUCCUCUCAACGCCCAGCGUCCGCCAAUGAGAAUCCGCCUUCCUCUCUGGCGUCAUCGGUCUCCGGGCAGGAACGCCCCCGCCCCGCCCCCCGCCCCGCCCUUCUGCCGUUAACGGUCACUCCAGGAAUCGGCCAAUGGGAAUCGUCCUCGUCUCUCCGCGUCACCCGUCUCCGGGCAGACUCGCCCUGGGCCGGACUCUCCUGGCCGGCUCCUCAUGGCAGGCAGGCUGCCCGAGGAAGCGCCGGGUGAAGCGGGGAAGGGGGGGCCAGGCCAAGGAGCGGGAGGCGCCUCUGCGUGGAGAUGGAGAUGGAGAUGGGCGGGGAGGAAGGGAGGCCGGAAGGGAGGCCUUGAGGCGAAGGGCCAGGCAGGCCAAGGCCGGAGGGGGGCGCGGGGGGAGACUCGGGGACCCACUCAGCCCCCCCCCCCCGAACACGCACACGCACACUCACCCCUCCUCCUCCUCCUCCUCCUCCUCCUCCGCUUCCUCCUUCCUCUCCCUCCCGCGCUCGCUCUGACAGGAAAAGGCGCCUCUCGUCCUGAGUCUCUCUAGGAAGACGCCUCCCUCCUCGGUGGACUUCCGCCCGGGCUCAACAUGGCAGCCGCGGGCACGAUGCCCAGAGAGGGGCGGGGCUUCUCGGCAGUCGAACGGAGCUCUAGACAGAGAGAGACGCUCCUCCUUUCUUUUCUUCCCAACGCCCAGGGUCCGCCAAUGGGAAUCCGCCUCCCUCCCUGACGUCAUCCGUCUCCGGGCAGAAUCUUCCCCGGCCCUUUCCUUCGCCGUUCCGCCAUGAACGGCCAUUCCCGGGACCUGAGGGCCAAUCUUUACCUCAGCUUGAAGGGUGGAAAGAACAUUGGAUGCCAAAAGGAAAGCCCAGGCCCCGGGAUGAGAGACAUGGCCUCGGGGUUGGGGAGAUCCACAGGGCCUCGGAGACAGAAGCGAACGCCCUCUUCUCCUCAGGACCUUCUGGCCUUCCCAGGAGAUCCGGCCUCCUUCCCGCCUCCUCUUCCCGUUCUUUGCAGGCAUUUCAUCUCAUCAUCACGACUGCCAGAUGGAUCCCAAAUAUCCGCUCCAUUGGUUAGUCAAUUAGGAUUGUCUGGAUGAUAAUUCACUAUGUUACAUUUUCAUCUUUUCUUCUUUCAACACUACACAAAUAUGUGUUUCUAUAUAUGUGUCGCUCUAAAAUAUCUAAUUAACGAGGCUUGCCACCUUCUAUAUUCUAAUCAAAGAGUGUUGAUAGGUCAGUUAUUCAAAGUCUCUUGAAUAAAGAGUUUAGAGAUAGUACAAAAUGUAACUGUAUACUAUUAAUAAUAUUUUACUCAACUGAUCCUGCCGUGGUCAUCUUCCUUUAUUUACAGUAUUUAUAUUCCGCCCUUCUUUCUCACCCCGAAGGGGACUCAGGGCGGAUUACAAUGAACACAUAUAUGGCAAACAUUCAAUGCCAACAGACAAACAACAUUCAGUUUUAGACAGACACAGAGGCAUUUUUUAACAUCUUUCCAGCUUCACGAUUUCCGGCCACAGGGGGAGCUGUUGCUUCACCGUCCAUUGGUGGCUGUUCUUCCUCUUCUUUUCCUCGUGAGCAGUUUUAUGGUGUUGUAGAUUAGUUAAAUUAGCCUCCCGCAUAAAGCGUCCCUAAAUUUUCCCUACUUGACAGAUGCAACUGUCUUUCGGGGCUGCUAGGUCAACAGCAAGCCGGGGCUAUUUUUUUUUUUUUUAUGGUCGGAGGCUUAACCCGACCCGGGCUUCGGACUCAUGGCCUCUCGGUCAGUAGUGAUUUAUAGCAGCUGGUUACUAGCCAGCUGCGCCACAGCCCGGCCCCUUUGCUUCUUUGUGAAUUCAAUGAAGGGCGUCCAUUCUUCUUGGAAGUCUCUGUGUAUUUGUUUGUUGUACAGCUAAAGUUAGUUUGUCCUAUUUGGCCAUUUCAAAACCUUUUGUCAUCCAGUUUUCUGGUGUUGGCAUGUCUUGUUGUUUCCAUAGUUUUGCGUAUUCAGUUCUUGCUUCUGUUGUCAUAUAAAGAAAGAGUCUUUCUUGAUGUUUCCCAGUAGAAAAAGUUCUGGUCUUAAUGGGAUUUUGUACUCUAGAAUAGUUUCCAUGUCUCUGUGGAUUUUUAUUCAGAAUUCGUUAGCUUUUGGACAAGUCCCAACAUAUCAUAUAUCUCUCUCACUGUGUGUGUAUUUGAGAGUUUUUCUGGAGUUAUGUACCAUCUAUGUAUUAUUUUGUAGAAAUUUUAUUUAAUUGUGUGACUCCUUGUAAAUUUUAGUCAUUUUUACCAGAGCUCUUCCCAUUCUCAUGGACUUAUUGCCCAGCCUAGACUUUUCACCCACUGACUCAUAGGUUCUUUUAUUUCUCCAUCAAUUGUAAAAUCUUUCAGAAGAAAUUGAUGCAGCUUCCCAGUUGGCUUGUUUUUUUGUCUGUAGCAGUUGGUUCCGCUGAUUCUCCGAUUCUUGUCUACCCAUUUUGUUGUCUAGACGGAGUCUCUGUUGGAGUCAGUUAUAAUGAAACCAUGUCAUUGUUGAGUCUUCUUUAUGUUUAUUUAUUACAAAGAAACAAAAUUACAAUAUUACAACAUUUCUACCCCGCCCUUCUCACCCAUCAAGGGGACUCAGGGUGGCUUACAGUAUAAAACACAUAUAUCAAAUAAUUACAGUCACAUUUCAAAAUUCCAUUUAAAUUAAGUUACAUUCAGACCUUCAUAAAUAUACAUUUAAAUAAACAUUCAAGGUGCAUUUCAAGUACAAACCGGGUCUGUCAUUAUACCUUGGAUCAUAUAGUUGCCAUUUCUGCUGCUACUAUUGCUCAAAAGCCUGGUCCCACAACCUUUCUGCCUUUC